rnacentral:rRNA from 1 species
CCUACGGGGUGCUGCAGUGGGGAAUAUUGGACAAUGGGCGAAAGCCUGAUCCAGCCAUGCCGCGUGUGUGAAGAAGGCCUUCGGGUUGUAAAGCACUUUCAGUGGGGAAGAAAGCCUUGGGGCUAAUACCCUCGAGGAAGGACAUCACCCACAGAAGAAGCACCGGCUAACUCCGUGCCAGCAGCCGCGGUAAUACGGAGGGUGCGAGCGUUAAUCGGAAUUACUGGGCGUAAAGCGCGCGUAGGCGGUCUGAUAAGCCGGUUGUGAAAGCCCCGGGAUCAACCUGGGAACGGCAUCCGGAACUGUCAGGCUAGAGUGCAGGAGAGGAAGGUAGAAUUCCCGGUGUAGCGGUGAAAUGCGUAGAGAUCGGGAGGAAUACCAGUGGCGAAGGCGGCCUUCUGGACUGACACUGACGCUGAGGUGCGAAAGCGUGGGUAGCAAACAGGAUUAGAUACCCCUGUAGUC